ACCUUUGUUGAAAUGCACAUCAACAACACAUGAAGUACAAACUACGAUCUUGGGAGGUUGCAAACAGUUUUAGGUUAAUUAGGUUUUCAUAGUGAUGCAUAAUCCCCUAAUUGAGUAAUUUGAUCAGGAUCACAUCUGGAUGAACAGGAAGAAACGAGGAACUGCGAAACUUAUGCGCAAAGUUACAAUGAAGAUCCCCUUAAAGCACUAGACAAGGAACUUACAAGAGAUUUUGAGGUAAACAUUAAAUUUACUUAGAUGAAAGUGAUUGCAACAGAUUGGCUUUAGAGGGUGUUUGGUACUGCUUAGAUUAAACCUAAGUAGUCGAAAGCGUUAGACGCACUCAAGGCGCAAAGGGUGAGCCUUGGGACUAGGCACUCAAAAGUGAGGGUUUUUUUUAAGCAAGACAAACAAUAUAAAAAGAGUAAAUUACUUUUUGAGCCCAUGUGUUUUAGUGGUUUUAACCACUUGAAGAAACCUAUAGAAGAAACCACGCCACCAUUUCCCACCCAUAUUCCAUUCCCUGCACAGUAAGUUCGGGUUUAUGUAAAAAAAUUUCACUCAUAUUUAAUUUGAGACAAAUAUGUUUUGAUAUGUUUUUUUCUGUGAAUUUCAAUCUCCCAUGUUUCCACAUCCAGAGAUAUCUCUGUUUUGGUUAAUCUAGAUUUUACCUAUAGCUUCUUUUUUUAAACGACAAUACAUUUUCAGCAAAAAAAAAAAAAUUAAUGUAGAGAGAUUUUAAAUUUCUAAGAGAUGGAGUGAUUCAAGUUCUUGAUCAUGAAGUACGCGUAAAAUAUGAGAAUCGUUAAGGGGGGUGACUUACUCUAUUGUGCUAGGCUUCUUAGCCUUUGGUUUCGCGUAAGGUAACAAUAUGUUCUUCUCUGUAGUUUUGGGUUUGUUGAUGUUGUGUACGACUUGUAUGUGAUGUUGUCCUUGGUGGUAUUUAGUCUUGCCUUGACUAAUCUUGAGGAAGAUUUGACAGUCUUCAAUGAAAUUGUGGAUGUAUUGCUGUUUUGUCGUUGAUUUAGACUCCAUGCCACCGAUAUCGCCUAAGGUAACAAUAUACUCUUCUAUGUUCUUCUGAUUUGGUUACAUUUUGCGUAUGGCUGGUCAUCUUUCUUAAAAUGAUCAAAAAUGAAGAAAGGAAUAAAACAAGGCAUGAAUAAGCUAGAUGUUAUGUUGGACUAAAGCUAUGAACUUAUGAUCAUGGUGUAGAAGUAUGUUAAAGACAUUUUUUUAAUAUUAUGCUUAAAUGUACAGACAUAGCGGUUUUUUUUGGUAAUCUUGGAUCAAUUGUUCGAUAAGAAUCAAAAUGGCAUCUGGGAUUUGUAACAAAAAGUUAACGAAAAUCAUGCUUCAAGAUUUGCCAUUUUGACAGCUCACAAAAAAAUGGUAACUUCAUGUUUCUAACCACCAUGAAGAUGCUGAAUCCAGUUUUUCCUUCUUUUUUGGGCCUACUGCUUCGUUUUUGCAUAUUCAUUGAAGAGGUGGAGCCAGUAAUUUUAGGGAAAAAUUGUCUGAUGUACUGGUUAUAGGUCAAGGGCAGUAGGUCAUAGAGUCAAAUAUAUAGGCGGGUUUCGAGUUUGAACGGGUCAAAGUAGCUGGUGAUUUUCAGCUGUGAGGUUUGUAUUGUUUUUAACUCUUCUUAAUCAAUCAUGGAAAUAUACAUUGUUGGUGUGUCCUUGAGUUU
rnacentral:lncRNA from 1 species